rnacentral:rRNA from 2 species
AAGUGCGAUCAUACCAGCACUAAUACACCGGUUCCCAUCAGAACUCUACAAUGAAGCUUGCUUAGGCGAGAGUAGUACUAGGAUGGGUGACCUCCUAGGAAGUCCUCGUUUUCUCUCGAG